UACGAAAGGGGCUAGCGUUGUUCGGAAUUACUGGGCGUAAAGCGCUCGUAGGCGGCAAUGUAAGUUGGGGGUGAAAUCCCGGAGCUCAACUCCGGAACUGCCUCCAAAACUACAUAGCUUGAGGAUGUGAGAGGAUAGUGGAAUUCCAAGUGUAGAGGUGAAAUUCGUAGAUAUUUGGAAGAACACCAGUGGCGAAGGCGACUGUCUGGCACAUUUCUGACGCUGAGGAGCGAAAGCGUGGGGAGCGAACAGG
rnacentral:rRNA from 1 species